rnacentral:rRNA from 1 species
UACGUAGGGAGCAAGCGUUGUCCGGAUUUAUUGGGCGUAAAGAGCUCGUAGGCGGCUUAGCAAGUCAGGUGUGAAACCUCCAGGCUCAACCUGGAGACGCCACUUGAUACUGCUAUAGCUUGAGUUUGGUAGGGGAAGACGGAAUUCCUGGUGUAGCGGUGAAAUGCGCAGAUAUCAGGAGGAACACCGGUGGCGAAGGCGCCACUCUGGGCCGGUACUGACGCUGAGGAGCGAAAGCGUGGGUAGCAAACAGG